rnacentral:tRNA from 1 species
GCUUGGCUGGCUCAGUCAGUGGAGCGUGUAACUCUUGACCACGGAGUUGUGAGUUCAAGCCCCACGUUGGGCA